rnacentral:rRNA from 1 species
UACGUAGGUGGCAAGCGUUGUCCGGAUUUACUGGGCGUAAAGAGCGCGCAGGCGGUCGGCCAAGUCGAGUGUGAAAGCCCCGGCUCAACUGGGGAGGGUCAUUCGAUACUGGUCGACUCGAAGGCAGGAGAGGGAAGCGGAAUUCCCGGUGUAGUGGUGAAAUGCGCAGAUAUCAGGAAGAACACCCGUGGCUAAGGCGGCUCUCUAGUACGGUACUGACGCUGAGACGCGAAAGCGUGGGGAGCGAACAGG